AACGAACGCUGGCGGCAGGCUUAACACAUGCAAGUCGAGCGAGACCUUCGGGUCUAGCGGCGGACGGGUGAGUAACGCGUGGGAACGUGCCCUUCUCUACGGAAUAGCCCCGGGAAACUGGGAGUAAUACCGUAUACGCCCUUUGGGGGAAAGAUUUAUCGGAGAAGGAUCGGCCCGCGUUGGAUUAGGUAGUUGGUGGGGUAAUGGCCCACCAAGCCGACGAUCCAUAGCUGGGUUGAGAGGAUGAUCAGCCACACUGGGACUGAGACACGGCCCAGACUCCUACGGGAGGCAGCAGUGGGGAAUCUUAGACAAUGGGGGCAACCCUGAUCUAGCCAUGCCGCGUGAGUGAUGAAGGCCUUAGGGUUGUAAAGCUCUUUCAGCUGGGAAGAUAAUGACGGUACCAGCAGAAGAAGCCCCGGCUAACUUCGUGCCAGCCGCCGCCGUAA
rnacentral:rRNA from 1 species